rnacentral:rRNA from 1 species
AAUAUUGGACAAUGGGCGCAAGCCUGAUGCAGCCAUGCAGCGUGUGUGAAGAAGGUCUUCGGUUUGUAAAGCACUUUAAUUUGGGAGGAAGGGCUGUUAACGAAUACGUAACUGUAUUGACGUUACCAACAGAAUAAGCACCGGCUAACUUCGUGUCAGAAGCCGCGGUAAUACGAAGGGUGCAAGCGUUAACCGGAAUUACUGGGCGUAAAGCGCGCGUAGGUGGUUCGUUACGUUGGAUGUGAAAGCAACGGGCUCAACCUGGGAGCUGCAUCCAAAACUGGCGAGCUAGAGUACGGUAGAGGGUGGUGGAAUUACAUGUGUAGCGGUGAAAUGCGUAGAUAUAGGAAGGAACACCAGUGGCGAAGGCGACAACCUGGACUGAUUCUGUCACUGAGGUGCGAAAGCGUGGGGAGCAAACAGG